CUACCUCACUUGGUAGAAGGUGACAGAAA
rnacentral:piRNA from 1 species